rnacentral:misc_RNA from 1 species
UUUCCGUAGGUGAACCUGCGGAAGGAUCAUUAUUGCAUAACCGAGGUGCGAGGGCAGUCGCUGACCCGAAAGGUCGUGCACGCCCGAGUGCCCUCACACACAUCCAUCUCACCCCUAUGUGCACCACCGCGUGGGUCCCCCUUUGGCUUGUUCGGAGGGGGGCUUACGUUUUCACACAAACUUUGUAUGCAGUGUAGAAUGUAUUUUUUGUUUUUGCGAUCACGCAAUCAAUACAACUUUCAACAACGGAUCUCUUGGCUCUC